GGAAGAGCCAACUACUUCAAAUAAGAUAAUAACAGAAGAGUGACCAAGAUGACUUCUGGAUGAGAAUUUUUAUUUCUAUCCUCCCAAUUUUUGUUUGACAGACUUUCUGUUUUAUAGGUUUCCUCAUAUUAAACAACAGUGUUUCAGAAAAGAUAAGUGGUAAAACCAGCGUGAAGAGACAGACAAAAAAAUAGGUUUUUAAACUUCGAAAAGUUGCAAAAAGUUGCAAUAAGAAGUUUGUUUAAGACUAAAGAUAGACUUCAUAAAACAUAUCAAGAGAUUUUGGUGGGGCUUGGCUGCAGGCAUGGAAGUUGAGCUCAUUAGGAAAAAAAAAAUGCUCCUUGUUGGGAUAUAUAGAAGAGGGACUGAAGAAGCUUUAAGAUUAUAUUGGAGUGAAGUUGGUGUUUUGCUUUCAGAAAAUGAUGAUGAUUAUAAUUUGCAUUUUGAAUAAUUACUCCAUAUAGGCAGAACUCCUGUGCCAGGAAAGGCAGUCUUAUGUAUCUUUUCAUCCCCAAUCGGCCAUAGAAGAAUGGGUCUUGGUCCUGGUACACUUCAUUAUCAAGUGAUACAUAGUCUGUGAUGAACUUAUCACCUUGAGCAGGAAUGUCUUUCCCUGUUUCAAGCUCAAUGUGCACUCCCUUGUUCUGCUUAAGCACGUGCCUCAGGGCUUCUGACUUACCCCUAGCUUUCAGUAUUUUAUAUUCCACAGAGUGGGAGAGAUUUCUUCCACUGCAGCACUAGAGGUGUGCUUGUAAGCAAAUCGCCCUGCUUGGGCUCCCAGGGAACCCACUAGCCCUGAUGGACCAGUGCAGACUAUUGGAGCAGAUGUUGUUCUGCCUCUACAUGUAAGUAAAGCCUUGGUCCAACCAGUGAUUAAUCAUGUAGUGUUUUCCUUGGGAACUCUGAUACCAAGAGUCCGUUCCUGGAACUGACAACUGAGUCCACAGUGGACUGCUCAACAACUAGAUUGUUAUAUUUGCUAUAUAAUUUAAUGCAGUCUUCAAAAUACCCCUAUUGUUAGGCAUCUUAUCAACAUUUUAGAAACAGGAAAACAUGUUUCGAAGAAACGAAGUAACUUUGCAAACUUUAUUACAGAGUAAAUGAUAAAAUUGUAAUCAGCUCUGUCUUAACACAAAUCAUGGAUUUUCUUUACUAUGCUGUCAAGGUUAAUCAUCAUUAGAAUGUUGGCCCAGGCUUUCUUUUCUAGUCCAUAGAAAUUCCUCAUAUAAUAUUAAGACAUAAACAUAUUUUAAAAAUAUAUAAUACUGGUUUUCCCCUGGGUCAAAUUGUGUCUGGAAUUGUGUCUGGUUCUUGGUCUUGCUGACUUCAAGAAUGAAGCCGCAGACCCUCACGGUGUUACAGUUCUUAAAGAUGGUGUGUCUGGAGUUUGUUCCUUCAGAUGUGUCCAGAGUUUUUUCCUUCUGGUGGGUUCCUGGUCUCGCUGACUUCAGGAGUGAAGCUGCAGACCUUCACGGUGGGUGUUACAGCUCUUAAAGGCGACGCAUCUGGAGUUGUUCCUUCCUUCUGGUGGGUUCGUGGUCUCGCUGACCUCAGGAGCGAAGCUGCAGACCUUCGUGGUGAGUGUUACAGUUCAUAAAGGUGGCGCGUCCGGAGUUGUUUGUUUCUCCUGUCCGGAGUUGUUCGUCCCUCCCGGUGGGUUUGGGGUCUCGCUGGCUUCAGGAGUGAAGCUGCAGACCUUCACAGUGAGUGUUACAGUUCAUAAAGGUGGUGUGGACCCAAACAGUGAGCAGCAGCAAGAUUUAUUGCAAAGAGUGAAAGAACAAAGCUUCCACACUGUGGAAGGUGACCCAAGCAGGUUGCCGCUGCUGUCCCAGGUGGCCUGCUUUUAUUCUCUUAUCUGGCCCCUCCCACAUCCUGCUGAUUGUUCCAUUUUACAGAGAGCUGAUUGUUCCAUUUUACAGAGAGCUGAUUGGUCCGUUUCACAGAGAGCUGAUUGGUCCAUUUUGACAGAGUGCUGAUUGGUGCAUUUACAAUCUUUUAGCAAGACACAGAGUGCUGAUUGGUACGUUUACAAUCCUUUAGCCAGACACAAAAGUUCUCCAAGUCCCUACCAGAUUAGCUAGACACAGAGCACUGAUUGGUGCACUUACAAACCUUUAGCUACACACAGAGUGCUGAUUGGUGCGUUUACAAUCCUUUAGCUAGACACAAAAGUUCUCCAAGUCCCCACCAGAUUAGCUAGACACAGAGUGCUGAUUGGUGUGUUUACAAUCCUUUAGCUAGACACAGAGUGCUGAUUGGUGCAUUUACAAUGCAUUAACUAGACAGAAAAGUUAUCCAAGUCCCCACCUGACCCAGAAGCCCAGCCGGCUUCACCUCUCG
rnacentral:lncRNA from 1 species